rnacentral:rRNA from 1 species
AUUGAACGCUGGCGGCAUGCUUUACACAUGCAAGUCAAACGGUAACAGGUUAAGCUGACGAGUGGCGAACGGGUGAGUAAUGCAUCGGAACGUGCCCGAUCGUGGGGGAUAACGCAGCGAAAGCUGCGCUAAUACCGCAUACGAUCUGAGGAUGAAAGCCGGGGACCGCAAGGCCUGGCGCUUGAAGAUGAGCAGGCGUCCGAUUAGCUAGUUGGCGGGGUAAUGGCCCACCAAGGCUCCGAUCGGUAGCCGGCCUGAGAGGGCGGACGGCCACACUGGAACUGAGACACGGUCCAGACUCCUACGGGAGGCAGCAGUGGGGAAUUUUUCGCAAUGGGCGCAAGCCUGACGAAGCAACGCCGCGUGGAGGAUGAAGGUCUUCGGAUUGUAAACUCCUGUCGACCGGGACGAAUGCACCCGACCUAAUACGUCGGAGUGUUGACGGUACCGGUGGAGGAAGCCACGGCUAACUCUGUGCCAGCCGCCGCCGUAACAC